AAUGUGAAUAUAAGACUCCUUAAAUGGGAAAGAAGGAGGCAGAAGAAUCAGAAGCAGAGAGAGGGCAUUGUGAGGAAAAACUCAACUGGCCAUUGCUGGCUUUGCAGUUGGAAGGGGCCCAAUAGCUAGUGACUAGGUCAGCCUCUGGGACUGAAAAGGCAAGGAAAUAGAUUCCUCCCCUAGAGCCUCCAAAAGGAACACAGUCCUGCUGUCAUCUUGAUUUUAGCCCAUUGAGAUGCCUUUUCAACUUCUGACCUCCAGCACGGGUCCUCAAGAUAUUCUGAGUUUCCUUCAUCUGCCAGGAAAUGACCUCCUUUAAUCAUUUGACAAGGCUGCCAGGAAUUCUAUAAGCAAGCCAGCCUUUGGACACCCUAGAAAUAUUGAUUGAAUCUGCCCAAUUUGACUUUUAUAAUAAAUGGAACAAGCUGGAACUGAACAAUGUUGAUUACAAAAUCUUUUCAUUCUUUGUGAUGAAAGGAACAUGAGCAUCCUCUAGACGUUGGAAAUGGCAAGGAAAUUGGUCCUCUCCUAGAGCCUCCAGAAGGAAUGCAGCCAUGCGGAUACCAUGAUUUCAGCCCAGUGAGUCCCACUCCAGACUUCUCACCUAUAGAACUGCAAGGCCAGCUCGGUGGUGCAGCGGUUAAAUUCACACAUUCCGCUUCUCUGCUCGGGGUCCCAGGGUUCACCAGUUCGGAUGCGGACAUGGCACCGCUUGGCACGCCAUUCUGUGCCAUAGGCUUCAGCAGUAAUGCCAUCAGGUCAAGCAGUGACCUAGUGGACAAGAGGCACCAUGAAACAGCCCAACAAGGCUUUGAAAACAACCCUGGGACUUUCAUGCAGAUCUGAAACCUUCGCUACUGCUCCCCACCACUCCCCACCAACCCAGACUGCCCUAAAGGCCAAGUGGUCAAUUUGGGAAGGAGAAGGGGUAAGGAUGGAAUCUGAAAAACUGAGCAUUUACUUGAGAAGAGCUCUGGUCUACAAAAAGAGACUUACAGCAACUGUUAGAAUUUUACAAAAUACACCCUGAGAAGGUUAAAAAAAAAACCAAAACAUAUAUUGUAACUGUGAGAAAUGAGUUCAAACAUGAAAUCUGAUAGAUCGUGAAAUUACAAUGUAAGUUGUGAAACACUAAUUUUCCCUCUGAGACUAAAAUG
rnacentral:lncRNA from 1 species